GUCCAGGGUACUUAGUGGACAUGGCAUCUGCCCGGUAAGCGGAACACUGUGGGUUCGAUUCCCAUCCCUGGACA